UACGACUACAUAUCAGGCAUAUCAAUAAGCGGAGGAAAAGAAACUAACUAGGAUUCCCUUAGUAACGGCGAGUGAAGCGGGAAGAGCUCAAAUUUGAAAUCUUCAAGGUUCUACCUUGACGAAUUGUAGUUUAAAGAAGUGUUUUCUGUUGGAGUUUUGGUAAAAGUUCUUUGGAAUAGGACAUCAUAGAGGGUGAGAAUCCCGUAUUUGACCAUUUCUUCCAGCUGUGUGAUACACUUUCAAAGAGUCGGAUUGUUUGGGAAUGCAGUCCAAAAUGGGUGGUAAAUUUCAUCUAAAGCUAAAUAUUGGCGAGAGACCGAUAGCGAACGAGUACCGUGAGGGAAAGAUGAAAAGAACUUUGAAAAGAGAGUUAAACAGUACGUGAAAUUGUCAAAAGGGAAGCGUUUGACACCAGUGUUGUUUUCUCGAAAAUCAAUUAAAAAUGACCGGAUUUUGUGUUGUAUUGACUUUAUCAGCUUUCUGCACUUUUUUCUUGUCUUUUUUAAUGCACUUUUCGUUUAACAAGUCAACAUCAAUUUCUUUUGUUGUAAAAGGGUCAUUGGAAGGUGGCUUUUCACUUCGGUGAAAGUGUUUAUAGCCUUUGACUUCUGCAAUCGGAGAGAUUGAGGUCUGCAGCGUAGAUCCUUCGGGGUUAGAUACAUUUGUGCUAAGUUAUAGUUUUUCAUAGACAACAUGUUGACUAUGAUUAAUCAUGUAGCUUACUCGCUUAUGCUAUUUUACCUACGCUUAGGAUGUUGAUCUCUCACAGUCGAGC
rnacentral:rRNA from 1 species